CGAGAUUCCCCCAGUAGCGGCGAGCGAACGGGGAGCAGCCCAGAGCCUGAAUCAGUGUGUGUGUUAGUGGAAGCGUCUGGAAAGGCGCGCGAUACAGGGUGACAGCCCCGUACACAAAAAUGCACAUACUGUGAGCUCGAUGAGUAGGGCGGGACACGUGGUAUCCUGUCUGAAUAUGGGGGGACCAUCCUCCAAGGCUAAAUACUCCUGACUGACCGAUAGUGAACCAGUACCGUGAGGGAAAGGCGAAAAGAAC
rnacentral:rRNA from 1 species